rnacentral:lncRNA from 1 species
AGAAAAGGAGAAAAAAGCCGGUACUCAUUUGCGUUCUUCCAUAACUUAAAUGGAGAGAAAUGGGUUGAACCAUUACCACAAUUCACCAAAGAGAUUGGGGAAUCACCAAAGUAUAGAGGAUUCCUUUAUAAGGAGUAUCAAGAGCUAAGAAUGAGGAACAAGACACAUCCACCUUCUAGGCCAGAGGAUAUAAUCAACCUUACUCAUUAUGCAAUUGAUGACUAGAUUCUUGUCUCUAGACACUUGUGUUUUGUGUGGAUUCAACUUAAAAAUAAAGAUGAUAUACUUCCACUGUUUCAUUUCAUGAUUGUUUGUGAUGUUUCAAUUGUUUCUCAAAUGGCACAAAAGACAUGUAAGCUAUGUUGAGUAAUACAAUCUUAUCUAAAAUUAUAGUCUUUUUUUUGGUAUAGCUGCGUAAUCAAUAUCAUUUUAUUGCUAUCACAAUCUAUAAUGCGUACACAACUUUACAGUACCAACUGGAUGAAACUACAUGCUAUGUACGUUUGUACCUUUUCAUGUUAAAUUUUAGGCUUAAUUGUCCCUUAAUUUAUUUUCUGUUUUCAAUUUGGUCCCCUAACUAUCAAACGUUUUAAAUUGGUCCUUUAUCUUCCUUCCAUCAUUCAAUUUGAUUCUAUUUUAUUUAUUUUAACACCAAAAAAAAAAAAAGAAAAAAAAAAAGACCGUUGAAUAAAUGAAGUUUAUUAGAUAUAACUGUCUAUCACCAACACCCGAUUUAUUUUACAUUUUUCAUCUUCUUUUCUCAUCUUCAUACAACUUUAAUCAAUCUUCAUCAUCUUCAACUUUUUUUUCUUUUGAAAAUUCAUCAUAAGAGAUUGUUAUUUUCAUUUUUGCUCUUUUUUAUAACGAUGGUGGGUGAUAAAACAAAAUCUUUAAAAGCUUAAUGUUCGGUCUCAAAUGGCAGCUACAACGACAACACAAUUGAUCAAUCUCACACGCUUUCCACGCUUCAAUCUUCGCCACUUCUCAGUAAACAAUGUUCACAUUCUUCAUCACCAACCCUUUCCUUCCAAACUCUACUACAACCAUCGUUCAAAUCUCAAAACCAUCAAUUGCAAUAGCAAGGUAUAUAAUUUUCACCUUCAUCUUAUUGUUUCAGCAAAAGGGUCACUCAAAAUUUUGUUUUUAGAAAAAGGGUAACUCAAAAUUUGUUGUUGAUUUUUUUAUUUUUUUAUUUUACUCUUGUUUGUGAUUUUUGUAGCUGAAUAACUCAAGUGGGGGAGAACCAUAUGAGAUUGAUGAAGGUGUUUUUGGAGGAUAUAAUGGGAUUGAAGAGGAGAGUGAUGAGGAUCACGUAGAGAGUAGUGUUGAUUUGUUGAUAAAAUUCUUGAAUGGGUAUGAAGGGUGUGAGAAUUAAAGUUACGGGUUUGGAUCCAAUUGAAGAACUUGAGGGAAAUAACCGUGUGGUUUUUAAGUUUUAAGAGGAUGUGCUGGAUUUUGAAUGGGGCAAGAGUUUCUGAUAAAAGAGUGAGUUUUUUCAUUGAGAGUGGAUUAAGUGAUUGUGAAAAAUGUUAAUGAAAUCUUGGUCUUGUCAAUUUUGAUUUUGGUGACAGAGAAGGGUAAGGUUAUCUGAUGGAUUUAGAUUUCAAUUUUUUUAUUUUUGAAUUUUUGGGUUUAGAUUAUGAGGGUGUGAUGAAGAAGAAAAAGGAAGAAGAUGAAGAAAUGAAAAAAAAAAUUACUUGUUGAUGGUUCACUUGAUUAUGUGAUUUUUAUUGAAGUUGAAAUGAUAAAUUUUUUAAAGAACAAAAAAGUUGAAGAUGAUGAAGAUUGAUGAAGGUUGUAUGAACAUGAAGAUGAUGGAAGAUGAUGAAGAAAAGUAAAAUAAAUUAGAUAUUGGUGAUACACAGUUAGAUCUGAUAGACCUCAUUUAUCCAACGUCUCAUUUUUAUGGAUGUUAAAAUGAAUAAAAUAGGACCAAAUUGAAUGAUGGAAAGAAGAUAAAUGACCAAUUUAAAACGUUUAAUAGUUAGAGGACCAAAUUAAAAACAGAAAAUAAAUUAAGGGACCAAAUAAUGUAUUAAGCCUAAAUUUCAUAUCCAGCCGUCUAAGAUUGUGGGUUUCAUGCAUAAUUUGGCCUCCUCAAAUGUUCUUAUGACUGAGCUCUAGAGCCUUUCAACUCUCAGGAUUGUUUGGCAGCUAGGCUAUAAGAAGGUUUUGGUUUGGUGGAGUGUGAUUCUCAAGUGGUAGUGCGUCUAUUCUCAAGAGAAAUGCUACCAUCAAACUCUCAAACACACUGUUUUUAAUUGGGCCAUAAUCCACGUUUUGAACAAUUUACUUGGCUACCGGUUCAUUAUGACAAUGACAACUUGUGGGACAAUCAAAAUAUACAAAGAAAUGUAGGUCCGCACAAAAAUCAAAGCAAUAGAGAGAGAAAAUGAAGACAUAAUGUGAGUAUGAGAGAGAAAGUUGUCACAAAAGUUGUUACAAAAUCGUUGUUCAAAUAUCAUUUCUCAAAAUAAAAUAGAGAAAAAAAAUAAGGUGACUGAUUACAUCGGUAAUUAAAUGAUAUUUGUACAACCACUUUGUGAUAACCUUUUGACAACUUUCUCUCUCAUACUCACAUUAUACUCUUAUUCUCUCUCUUCUUUCAUCUCUCUCCAUUGUUUUUGACCAAUAAAAAGAGAGAAAAAAGAAGUUGUCUAAGAUGAGUUGAUCAAAUAUCAAUACUCUAACAGAUUGGCUACGUGGCAUUGCUAUAAGAGCGUUUGUAAUUUCCUCUUGAAUCUAUACCGUUGAAUCAAUGAUGAUCGGCGUAAGAGUUGAAGUUGACGUGGAUCUUUACCGGCACAACAUAUGUUAAUAUCUUGGAACAAUGAGCCAAGUUUUUUUUAUAUCAAUAGUAUAUACUUUUAUACAUACAUUGUAUCACCACAAAUAUCACUAGUGUAACAUUUUGCUACACAAGCUUUAGUGAAUUAUGAGAUUCUCCUGUUUUAAAAAAGAAAUGGAAUAUAUUAGAAGGGAAAUAAACACAAAUAAUUUAAAUGAUAUAUUAGAUUUUUUUUUAUGAUGAUAAUAAUUUUGCAAAAAACAAUUCUUAGUUGUAUUUAUCUCUCUGUCCUCUUUGAAAAUAAAGGGAAUCUGGGUUAGUUAGACCGACAUUGGUCUUCACAAAGCAUGUACAUUGUACAUAAACAACAUUGAAUGUUUGAACCUAGGCGUAACAUUGAUGGAGAUAGAUUUUACCUUCUUCGUUUCUAUCUUUGAUUCUUAUAUAUUUAUCUGUUAUCCUACUUAUAUACAACCGAUAUGUGAAAUUGAAUUUCAUCCUCGUUCCUAACAGAUUUGAGUAUUCCAGCCACAUCCUUGUAUUUGUAGUGAAUCAUUUUUUUUAAUUAAAAUAAAUAAAUUCAGUCUCGAGCACAAUGUUGUAAUACUUUAUUCAACAAUAUGUUUAUUUUAACAUUUCCCUGACUGAAUGAUUUUGUUGCUCCUUUAAACAUCAAUGACAUUUUUAUAACAUGACAAUUCCAAAUAACAUAGUAUAUCAACAUAUAGCCAAAAUAUCAAUGUUCUAAAUUAACAAAUAAUCCAAAUUAUCAAAAUAACAUAACCUAGUCCAAAUUACAUCAUUGUUUAAUUGCUAAAACAAGUAGCUACAUAAACGUUGUCUUAUUUCUUUCUCUAAAUGCUACCGAUGUCUUCGGCUUCACUCUUCAAAUCCAGCAACAACACAAGUCAAUUGGCUAUGGUGAGAGAGAAGAGAGAGACCAAGAGUGUGAGAUGUGGAAAGAAAAGAGAGAAAACUCGAGUGAUUGUCGAUUGAUAAACACGGAUUACGUGAGUGAAAUUGUUUAGGGUUUGAGUUUCUUUUUAUAUAAAAGGAGGAACAAAGGGGUAAUAAAUUAAUUUUUAACAAUCAAGGGUGUGUUUGAGUAUGGGUUCAAGUGGGUACAUAUAUUAUAUCACUGUCACCCGUCCCGUUCUCGGGUUUUGAAAUCGGAAAAAAUUCAAACUCAUAUCUAAACAUAGUCAAAGCCGGAAAAUUCCUUAAUUGGGAUUCCAACGGAUACCCAAUGAUACAGGUAUUGCUGUCAUGCCUGUUUGAAACCCCACUAGUUCAAGAAUACUUUUAAACUCUACGAUUUUUUACGCUUAAAAAUGUGAACUUCGAUAUCAAGUGAUUUUUUUCCCUGUAGAUUCAAAUGGAGGCAAUAAAUCACAUAUUUUGUGCAACAAAAAUAACCAUUUUUAGGACUUAAAAUAAGGGUUACGAUCUAUGAAGCACGGAUGCGGACACAGACACGACACGGACACUGACACGUCGACACAACUAAUAAUUUUAAAAUAUCAUAUAAUUCAGUGUAAUUACAAGUGUCCGUGUCGUGUUAGUGUCGGACACGACACGUGUACGACACUGGGACACACCUAAUCCGAGAAGUGUCCGUGCUUCAUACGGACGAAGAUAUGUAAAAAUAGAGGGACUAAAAAAUCAAUUUAUUAAAAGAUAACUAUUUUUGAGAGAUUGAUAAAAUAGAGGGAUCAAAAGUACUAUUAAACCUGAUAAUUUUAAAAAAUAAUAAUAAGAAGAAGGGGUGAUCCAAUGUGAUUGUUUACCAACUUACCAUACCAUUCUUGUCUUCAAUCUAAAUCAUACUAUAGCAAAAGUUUACAUUUGAGAAGCAAUUAGAGAAGUAAGAGAUGGUUGAGCCUAUUAUUCCCACAAUUGAUCUCUUUCCUUUCCUCAAAGAAAACAAGGAUGGCAACAAAAAGAAAGCCAUGGAAACAAUCACAAAAGCAUGUUCUGAAUAUGGUUUCUUCCAAAUUGUGAACCAUGGUGUUUCUUUAGAUUUGAUGAAACAAGCCAUGGAGUUAUCCAAAACAUUUUUCAAUUACUCAGAUGAAGAAAAGAAUAAGAGCAGUCCUUCUUCUAAUGCUCCACUUCCUGCUGGCUAUAGUAGACAGCCAUCACACUCACCAGACAAAAAUGAAUACUUGCUUGUUUUUCCUCCAAGAUCUAACUUCAAUGUUUACCCUNGUGUUCUUCCAUAACUUAAAUGGAGAGAAAUGGGUUGAACCAUUACCACAAUUCACCAAAGAGAUUGGGGAAUCACCAAAGUAUAGAGGAUUCCUUUAUAAGGAGUAUCAAGAGCUAAGAAUGAGGAACAAGACACAUCCACCUUCUAGGCCAGAGGAUAUAAUCAACCUUACUCAUUAUGCAAUUGAUAACUAGAUUCUUGUCUCUAGACACUUGUGUUUUGUGUGGAUUCAACUUAAAAUUAAAAUUAUAUACUUCCACUGUUUCAUUUCAUGAUUGUUUGUGAUGUUUCAAUUGUUUCUCAAAUGUCACAAAAGACAUGUAAGCUAUGUUGAGUAAUACAAUCUUAUCUAAAAUUAUAUUGUCUGUCUUUUUUGUUUGAACCUCAAACUUUACAUAUAUUAUGUUUUGUUCAUACUAACUGAG